rnacentral:rRNA from 1 species
AUUGAACGCUGGCGGCAUGCUUUACACAUGCAAGUCGAACGGUAACAUGAAGAAGCUUGCUUCUUUGAUGACGAGUGGCGAACGGGUGAGUAAUGUAUCGGAACGUGCCCAGUAGUGGGGGAUAACUACUCGAAAGAGUGGCUAAUACCGCAUGAGAUCUCUGGAUGAAAGUGGGGGACCGCGAGGCCUCACGCUACUGGAGCGGCCGAUAUCAGAUUAGGUAGUUGGUGGGGUAAAGGCCCACCAAGCCUGCGAUCUGUAGCUGGUCUGAGAGGUCGACCAGCCACACUGGGACUGGGACACGGCCCAGACUCCUACGGGAGGCAGCAGUGGGGAAUUUUGGACAAUGGGCGCAAGCCUGAUCCAGCAAUGCCGCGUGCAGGACGAAGGCCUUCGGGUUGUAAACUGCUUUUGUACAGAACGAAAAGGCUCUGGUUAAUACCCGGGGCUCAUGACGGUACUGUAAGAAUAAGCACCGGCUAACUACGUGCCAGCCGCCGCGGUAAGAC